GUGCUCACUUCGGCAGCACAUAAACUAAAAUUGGAAAGAUACAGAGAAGAUUAGCAUGGCACCUGCACAUGGAUGACACACAAAUUCAAGAAACGUUCCACAUUUUU
ensembl:snRNA U6 U6 spliceosomal RNA